rnacentral:rRNA from 1 species
AACACUGGCGGCCUGCAUUAGGCAUGCAAGUCGAACGAUAACGCUCCCUUCGGGGAGUGAGUUCCCCGCCGAACGGGUGAGUAACGGGGGGAAAACCUGCCCUUCAAUGGGGGAUCACCGUUUUAACGAGCUGCUAAUCCCGCCCAGACCUUCGGAUCGGAUGACUUGAAGGCGAAAGGUGGCCUCUCUUUGAAGCUGCCGUUAAAUGAUGCUCCCGCCUCCCAUUUUCUUGUUGUUGGGGCAAUGGCCUACCAAGGCGACGAUAGGUACCCCGCCUGAGAGGGUGUCCGGCCACACUGGGACUGACAUACGGCCCAGACUCCUACGGGAGGCAGCAGUCUAGAAGCUUCGCCAAUGGGCCAAAGCCUGACCGAGCGAUGCCGCGUGAGUGAACAACGCCCUAUGGGUUGUAAAGCUCUGUCCUAUUGGGAAGAAAACUCUGCGGUUAAUACCCGUAUAGCUUGACGGUACCAUCAGAGGAAGCACCGGCUCACUCCGUGCCAGCAGCCGCGGUAUUACGGAGGGUGCAAGCGUUGUUCGGAAUUACUGGGCGUACAGAGCGCGUACGCGGCCCUAUCAGUCAGAUGUGAAAGCCCGGGGCUUAGCCCCCGAUGUGCUUUUGAAACUAUUGGGCUCGAGUAUGGGAGGGGGAAGUGGAAUUCCUGGUGUAGAGGUGAAAUUCAUAGAUAUCAGGACGAACACCGGUGGCG